AUUGAACGCUGGCGGCAUGCUUUACACAUGCAAGUCGAGCGGCAGCGCGGGGGCAACCCUGGCGGCGAGCGGCGAACGGGUGAGUAAUGCAUCGGAACGUAUCCUCGAGUGGGGGAUAACCCAGCGAAAGUUGGGCUAAUACCGCAUGAGCUCUGAGGAGGAAAGUGGGGGACCUGCGAGGGCCUCGCGCUGGAGGAGCGGCCGAUGUCCGAUUAGCUAGUUGGUGGGGUAAAGGCUUACCAAGGCGACGAUCGGUAGCUGGUCUGAGAGGAUGAUCAGCCACACUGGGACUGAGACACGGCCCAGACUCCUACGGGAGGCAGCAGUGGGGAAUUUUGGACAAUGGGGGCAACCCUGAUCCAGCCAUGCCGCGUGAGUGAAGAAGGCCUUCGGGUUGUAAAGCUCUUUCGGACGGAACGAAAUGGGCGGGACUAAUACUCCUGUCUGAUGACGGUACCGUAAGAAGAAGCACCGGCUAACUACGUG
rnacentral:rRNA from 1 species